UCCAAACAGGGGCAUCAUGGUCCGUGCCUUACCAAGCAUGGAUAAUUGGGAAUGAGGAAAGGCAAUCGCCCCUGCCUCAGCCGCCCCCGCGACUGUGAGCGGAGAGCGUCCUUGCAAAAGCCACUGGGGUUUCCCCUGGGAAGGAGCAAGUCGCCGUGACCCGCGAGCCAGGAGACCAGCCGUGAUGAACGAAAACAA
rnacentral:ncRNA from 2 species